GCCAGGUGUAGUGGCGCAUGCCUGUAAUCCCAGCUGCUCGGGAGGCUGAGGCAGAGGAUUGCAAGUUCAAAGCUAGCCUCAGCAAUGGCAAGGUGCUAAGCAACUCAGUGAGACACUGUCUCUA
rnacentral:sRNA from 1 species